CGAGGAAUUGGGGAGACGGUUACCAAAUAGGACGGGCGAAAGGGUAACAGGGGCGGGGCGCAAGUGGCGGGGGGGGUACGGCGAGCUGGGUACGGACAUAAAAAUCCGAGGGCGACGUCGUAAUGUUCGUGAGAGGUCGUACCCAUAUCCGCAGCAGGUCUCCAAGUUGAACAGCCUCUGGCCGAUAGAACAAUGUAGGUAAGGGAAGUCGGCAAACUAGAUCCGUAACUUCGGGAAAAGGAUUGGCUCUAGGGGCUGGGUCGGUCGGGCUGAGGUACGAAGCGGGGCGCGGCGCUGUACCGGACUGGGCGAACGACGGCCUCCCUCGCGGGGGGCUGGCGUGAGCCUGGACCUGUGUCGGCGUCUUCCCGUGGAAUGCCGCAGCUAACGCGGGCCUCGCGGCCCGCUUCGGCCGGCGUCGAACAGCCGACUUAGAACUGGUACGGACCGGGGGAAUCCGACUGUUUAAUUAAAACAAAGCUUUGCGAUGGCCGUCAGCCGGUGUUGACGCAA
rnacentral:ncRNA from 1 species